AAUAAUAGGGUACCUGGAAAAUUAUAUUUUGAACAUUCACAAUUGUUUUUUUUAUAUCAUUUGAUAAAAAGGUUUAGUGUUAUAGUACUUACCUAUUAUAAGUUACUGUGGCUAACCUGCAAUGUUGGCAGUUGUUUUUUGUUUAUCAUUAAUCAUUAUUAACUGUUCAAAUAUCCAAAUAUUUUGUUUUGCACUUUUCCAAUUACGUGUAAUGUGAUUUUAAGUUUUUAAAAAUUA